rnacentral:piRNA from 1 species
UUUAACAGUUCUAACAUUGUUGAAAAGAGC